GGUCGAUUAGCUCAGUUGGUUAGAGCGUGGUGCUAAUACGAGUUGUGCCUCCUGGUAGCUCGGUUACGCCAAGGUCGCGAGUUCGAGACUCGUAUUGACCA
rnacentral:tRNA from 1 species